AUGAUCUGGAGGAGAUCAAGAAACAGAUUAAGGAGUUAUUGGAGAAAGGUUACAUCCGACGGAGUUCAUCAUCAUGGGGGAGCCCCAUUGCUAUUGGUUGAGAAGAAGGAUAAGUCUUUGAGAAUGGUUGUUGAUUAUCGGGCAUUGAAUGAAGUGACAAUCAAGAACAAGUACCCACUGCCGAUGAUCAAUGAUCUGUUUGACCAGCUGCAAGGAGCUAAAGUGUUUUCGAAGAUCGACCCGCGAUCAGGUUACCACCAGUUGAAGAUUCGAGAAAAGGAUAUACCUAAGACAACUUUCACCACAAGGUAUGGGCUAUAUGAGUAUACGGUUAUGUCAUUUGGAUUGAUUAACGCCGCUGCCUAUUUCAUGAGUAUGAUGAAUAAG
rnacentral:rRNA from 1 species